AGCCUCUAGUCGAUGACCAAUGUAGGUAAGGGAAGUCGGCACAACGGAUCCCGUACCUUUGGAAUAAUGGAUUGGCUCUGAGGACUGAGCCGGUCGGGCUGGGGACCUGAAGCAGGAACGGCACUGCACCGGGACUGGGCGGGGCUCGCCGUUGACGCGGCGCGGCCAAGCCCGGACCAGCGUCGGGACCUUCCUGUGGAAAGCCUCAGCUGCGCGGCGUCCGAGGGCUUCGUGCCCAAAGUGCUAUGCUUCGGCCGGCAAAAAACAGUCAACUCAGAACUGGCACGGACCGGGGGAAUCCGACUGUCUAAUUAAAACAAAGCAUUGCGAUGGCCGCUGGUCGGUGUUGACGCAAUGUGAUUUCUGCCCAGUGCUCUGAAUGUCAACGUGAAGAGAUUCAUCAAAGCGCGGGUAAACGGCGGGAGUAACUAUGACUCUCUUGUUGACGAUGGGGGCUGGGAGUUCACUGUAUUGAAACUAUGAUACCCCGCGUCCGAUACAGCCGACUACUUGCUGUUGAGGCAAAGGAGGAUUGUAUGCUGGAAAAUUUGGUAGCUUCGAGGGCGUGGGUGGAGAUGGUUGAAAAAGCUAGAAAGGCGAUGCAAUUCAAUGGUAUUUUUCUGGAGACUAAAAUUCAGGUUCGGGACUAUUGGAGGAACGCUUUGUUAAAGAUGGUGGAUGGUCGAGGACUACGGGAGGCGAGAUUGGCUCUUAGGGCAACAUGGGUGCGGGACCCUCCUAGAUACCUUUCCGGUAGGGAGUACGUGGAUUUGAUUAAACUCAGAAUACACGCGCUCCCGACGAAGUCUAGGUGUGCUAGGGGCGAGCCAAGGACUUAAG
rnacentral:ncRNA from 1 species